UGAUCCAGCCAUGCCGCGUGUGUGAAGAAGGCUUUCGGGUUGUAAAGCACUUUCAGCGAGGAAGAAAGCCUCUGGGCCAAUACCCCAGAGGAAGGACAUCACUCGCAGAAGAAGCACCGGCUAACUCCGUGCCAGCAGCCGCGGUAAU
rnacentral:rRNA from 1 species